CACGUAGGGUGCGAGCGUUGUCCGGAAUUAUUGGGCGUAAAGAGCUCGUAGGCGGUGUGUCGCGUCGGCCGUGAAAACCUGCAGCUUAACUGUGGGCUUGCGGUCGAUACGGGCAUCACUGGAGUUCGGCAGGGGAGACUGGAAUUCCUGGUGUAGCGGUGAAAUGCGCAGAUAUCAGGAGGAACACCGGUGGCGAAGGCGGAUCUCUGGGC
rnacentral:rRNA from 1 species